rnacentral:lncRNA from 1 species
CAGUGUCUGAAGUGUUUCCUGUGAGCUCUAAAUGAGAUGUUACAGGGAAGCCACACAGGCAACGCGGAGGGUUUCGAGAUCUGUUCUCUGCUGAAGCUCACCGAGACCAAGGCCAACAAGAGCUGGAUCACCCUGCUUCAUCACAUCCUGGAGGAGGCAGAGCUGAAUCACCCUGAGCUGCUUAACCUUGCCGAUGACAAUUACAUUGAGGCUUGUGAGAAAGACUUGUGAACCUAACAUGCUCACUGGCAUCUUUUCUUAAACAAACCCUGAGUUUCUCCCUAUCUCCUCCCUCCUGCUGAGCAGCCUUUGGACACGGGGUGUCCUUUCCUCGUUUCCCCGUCGACGUUGAAGCUAAACAUCAAUAUAACAGCAAAACAAUGAUUUCUACAGUGCAAACAGACAACAAUACUUUUAUUAAUUUUCUGAUGACAUAGGGGACCAGCUUCACGGAGGUGUGCAUCUAUGUCGCUUUUUUUUUUUUUUUUUAAGUGCUCAUACCCGCCAUAGCACAUAUCAGAACUUCUAACACCAGUGUGACGACCUUGUUUUCUCACCGGUUGUCAUGGUGACUCAUAGUAUCAGAUGUCCAUUGAUGAUGGCUUUUUAUAGUUGGCGGACAUGCACUUAACUCAAGGUGAACAUACUUAUUACUGAUUGAACUAACCUCUGAUCAGCUGUUCUGGAAUCCCAUCUCUGCAACCCCAUCUCAGGGGUUCAUCAGCUCAGAGUCCAGGGUUAGAUGCUGAGUUUGUUGAACCUGCUUUCUGGAACACCCCUGUUAUGUUGUUUCUGUGUGUAGAUGUAGUGUUUUCCCUUGUAUUUUAUAUGGAUACAAAUUGACAUUUGUCCAAUAAAAUAAUGCAUGGAUACUAGAUCGCAUAGAAAAUUAAAUGUUACACGGAAAAUACCCUAUAAAAAAUACCCUCUUUGCCUGACUAUGUAUAUAGUUUUGCCUUUGUCUGUAGUCUGCAGAGGAAGUGUGCAGCAGGAUGAAGGCUGUAUCUUCGACCACCUCCUGGCAGACAUCCACAAAGCCUUCCAGUUGAGGAAGACUCGUCCCAGUUCCAAAUGCAGAAAAAGGCCAGCCCCAUGCCACCCAACCCACGGUAAAAAUUGAUGUGAAAUGAAAAAUAGAAUGAUAAAGUGAUUUGAUUCAUUUAAAGCCAAUUUGAUUACAAUAGUCGUGAUGUGAUGAAAACAGAGCCAUGUUUCAUCAUUUUCAUUCAUCAUUAACAUCCCAAAGUGUCCAUUUAUCAUUUAUGGAAAGUGUCCUCAAGGGUACUUCGCCUGAAUCCUUUCUGGUUGAAUUACGUUGCUCUCAUUUUCUGAAAGAUGCAUACUGGGAGAUGUAGUUCUUGAGUGUUAAAUUUGUCAUCUCCCCCUUCUUGUGUAGCCAACCAAAUUGUAGUCACAAAGUCAAUUCACAUUAAACUUUUUACUUUACAUUUAAAAAUCUACAUAUGAUAUUUUCUUUGUAUGCUUAAGUGUAUGAACCACUUAUUGAAUUAUUCUGUGGUGGGUUUAAAUUGCACCUAAGUGUAAGACUGUAUUAAAAGCAUGUCAUGAAGUUCCCUGUUGUCCUUUUGGGAAACAUGCAAAUAUGGCUAUAUAAGAUAUCCACAUAAAACUACAC